rnacentral:rRNA from 1 species
AAACGAUUGAAGCCAGUCGUACCUGCGGGUAAUCAGCCUUUUGGGUGUGAUUAUGUGGAGCGUGAGGAGCUUAAUCGCCAUCAUCUUUGCAUAUUCGUGCACUUUGGGUGUACUUGCUCGUGUGGUAGGUUAACAUCAAUUUUGAUCGUCAUAAAAUGACUGGGGGAAUGUAGCUUCGAUCUCGUAUUGAAGUGUUAUAGCCUUCGGUAGAUGUGAUGAUUAGGAUUGAGGAUUGCAACGAACCCUUCGGGGCUACUCGCCUGAUCUCUGAGAGUUGCUCUGGUGCUGAAAGCGUGCUUAUGGUAUCAAAGUUGACGUUCAACAGGUUAGAACGGGAUAAAUUCGUUAAGGAUGUUGACGUAAUGGCUUUAAACGA